CAUAGCGACUAUCGUGGCAUAUCAAUAAGCGGAGGAAAAGAAACUAACAAGGAUUCCCCUAGUAACGGCGAGUGAAGCGGGAAGAGCUCAAAUUUGAAAUCUUCAAGGUUCUACCUUGACGAAUUGUAGUUUAUAGAAGUGUUUUCUGUUAGUAGAGUGGCUAAAAGUUCUUUGGAAUAGGACAUCAUAGAGGGUGAGAAUCCCGUAUUUGGUCAUUCUUUCUAGCUGUGUGAUACACUUUCAACGAGUCGGAUUGUUUGGGAAUGCAGUCCAAAAUGGGUGGUAAAUUUCAUCUAAAGCUAAAUAUUGGCGAGAGACCGAUAGCGAACAAGUACCGUGAGGGAAAGAUGAAAAGAACUUUGAAAAGAGAGUUAAACAGUACGUGAAAUUGUCAAAAGGGAAGCGUUUGACACCAGUGUUGUUUAGUUGAAAAUCAAUUCAAUAAUUUUUGAUUCUAAGUAGUAUUGACUUCAUCAGCUUGCUGCUUUCUUCUCAGGAAGUUAUUGAAUGCACUUUUCAGUUAACAAGUCAACAUCAAUUUCUUUUGUUGUAAAAGGGUAAUAGGAAGGUGGCUUGCUCUUCGGCGCAAGUGUUUAUAGCCUUUGAUCUCCUGCAAUCGGAGAGAUUGAGGUCUGCAGCGUAGAUCCUUCGGGGUUAGAUACAUUUGUGCUAAGUUAUAGCCUUUCAUAGACAACUUGUUGACUAUGAUUAGUCAUUGUAGCUUACUCGCUUAUGCUAUUUUACCUACGCUUAGGAUGUUGAUAUGCAUGACUGAUAU
rnacentral:rRNA from 1 species